AGGGUUCGAUUAUGGCUCAGAUUGAACGCUGGCGGUAGGCUUAACACAUGCAAGUCGUGCGAGAAAGUAUCUUCGGAUAUGAGUAGAGCGGCGGACGGGUGAGUAACGCGUAGGAAUCUACCUAGUAGAAGGGGAUAGCCCGGGGAAACCCGGAUUAAUACCGUAUACCUCCUUCGGGAGAAAGAAGGCCUCUCUUUGAAGCUUUCGCUACUAGAUGAGCCUGCGUAAGAUUAGCUUGUUGGUGAGGUAAAGGCUCACCAAGGCGACGAUCUUUAGCUGGUCUGAGAGGACGAUCAGCCACAUUGGGACUGAGACACGGCCCAGACUCCUACGGGAGGCAGCAGUGGGGAAUAUUGGACAAUGAGCGCAAGCCUGAUCCAGCCAUACCGCGUGUGUGAAGAAGGCCUUCGGGUUGUAAAGCACUUUAAGCAGGGAGAAAAAGUUAUAAGUUAAUACCUUAUAACCCUGAUGUUACCUGCAGAAUAAGCACCGGCUAAUUCCGUGCCAGCCGCCGCGGUAAUAC
rnacentral:rRNA from 1 species